GAUCCUGGCUCAGGAUGAACGCUGGCGGCGUGCGUAACACAUGCAAGUUGAACGACGGUGUCAUGAAGUGGUAACACGGAAUGGCAUACGGAGUAGCGGACGGGUGAGUACAACAUGAGAAGCUGUCCUUCAGCGGGGGACGAACGUCUGGAAGCGGACGCUAAUACCCCACUAGGCCGAGAGGUUAAAGCAGAGAUGCGCUGGAGGAGGUGCUCGUGCCCU
rnacentral:rRNA from 1 species